UGCCCUUUUUAUGUUGUACUACU
rnacentral:miRNA from 1 species